CAGUCCCGCGGUAAUACGAAGGGGGCUAGCGUUGUUCGGAAUUACUGGGCGUAAAGCGUGCGCAGGCGGCUUCCCAAGUCAGUGGUGAAAGCCCGGAGCUCAACUCCGGAACUGCCAUUGAAACUGUGAAGCUCGAGGAUGAGAGAGGUGAGUGGAAUUCCCAGUGUAGAGGUGAAAUUCGUAGAUAUUGGGAAGAACACCGGUGGCGAAGGCGGCUCACUGGCUCGUUUCUGACGCUCAUGCACGACAGCGUGGGGAUCAAACAGGAUUAGAUACCCCGGUAGUCCCUGUCUCUUAUACA
rnacentral:rRNA from 1 species